rnacentral:lncRNA from 1 species
AAGUCAGAUGUGGUCAGUUCCAUUGGGAAGUGGGGUUUUCAUCAGCAGGGACUCUGCGGCAACUCACCUGCUUUCUGCUCCAAGAGUCCAGCACCCUGAGAUCCUGAUGCCAGGGUAAGCUGGGGGACUGCUCAUAGCCAAAGAUGCAGAAACCAGAAUGAAAGGUCUACAGCAGAGACUGAAGAGAGGAAGGCUCAUCACUUGGACCACCAAAGAACUAAGAAAGGUCUCAAGAUCCCUCUGCUAUGGUUAAAUCUAGUCAAGCAACCCAUCCCAGCAAGAGGCAGGAGGCGGUUCAGAGAGUCAUCAAAGCCAUUUUCACAAGGCAUCAAGGAGUCCUGGCUCUUGUGUUUGGAAGACGGGUCAGCUGAGGUCCGGAACCAAUUCUAGGGCAAGAAAACUUGCAAUAAAGACUGAGAACUUUGGUCUAAA